AUUGAACGCUGGCGGCAGGCCUAACACAUGCAAGUCGAGCGGAUGAAGGGGGCUUGCUCCUGGAUGCAGCGGCGGACGGGUGAGUAAUGCCUAGGAAUCUGCCUGGCAUUGGGGGAUAACGUCCGGACACGGGCGCUAAUACCGCAUACGUCCUGAGGGAGAAAGGGGGGGAUCUUCGGACCUCACGCUAUCAGCUGACCCUACGUCGGAUUAGCUAGUUGGUUGGGUAAGGGCUUACCAAGGCGACGAUCCGUAGCUGGCCUGAGAGGAUGAUCAGUCACACUGGAACUGAGACACGGUCCAGACUCCUACGGGAGGCAGCAGUGGGGAAUCUUGGACAAUGGGCGAAAGCCUGAUCCAGCAAUGCCGCGUGUGUGAAGAAGGUCUUCGGAUUGUAAAGCACUUUAAGUUGGGAGGAAGGGCAGUAAGUUAAUACCUUGCUGUUUUGACGUUACCAACAGAAUAAGCACCGGCUAACUUCGUG
rnacentral:rRNA from 1 species